GCAGCAGCCGCGGUAACACGAGGGGGGCAAGCGUUGUUCGGAAUUAUUGGGCGUAAAGGGCUCGCAGGCGGUUUCUUAAGUCUGAUGUGAAAGCCCCCGGCUCAACCGGGGAGGGUCAUUGGAAACUGGGAAACUUGAGUGCAGAAGAGGAGAGUGGAAUUCCACUUGUAGCGGUGAAAUGCGUAGAGAUGUGGAGGAACACCAGUGGCGAAGGCGACUCUCUGGUCUGUAACUGACGCUGAGGAGCGAAAGCGUGGGGAGCGAACAGGAUUAGAUACCCCUGUAGUCCCUGUCUCUUAUAC
rnacentral:rRNA from 1 species